GGGGCUGUAGCUCAGUGGUAGAGUGCUUGCCUAGCAUGUGUGAGGCCCAGGGUUCAAUCCUCAGCACCA
rnacentral:tRNA from 1 species